AACAGUUUGAGAGUGAAGCCAUGUUGCAUUUUAUUUUGUACAAAGUAUUGCUGUGAAAAGCUAUUGCGUGUAAUGAAUUCCAAGCCAUAGCUAAAGAAGAAAGUGCUCAGAAGUCAUCUCUUUUCUGGUGAAAAGAAGUCCAGGCAACUUUUAAACAUUGCGCCAACAGAACCCAUAAAUAAACUAAUCUUUCACUUGUC